CCGCCCCGCGCAGGCCGGCGCCGCCAUGGCCGCGCUGCACGCCAAGGCCGGCGGCCCCCCGCAGAUCCCCGACACCCGCCGCGAGCUCGCCGAGCUGGUGAAGCGCAAGCAGGAGCUGGCAGAGACGCUGGCCAACCUGGAGCGGCAGAUCUACGCCUUCGAGGGCAGCUACCUGGAGGACACGCAGAUGUACGGGAACAUCAUCCGCGGCUGGGACCGCUACCUCACCAACCAGAAAAACUCCAACAGCAAAAACGACCGGAGGAACCGCAAGUUCAAGGAGGCCGAGCGGCUCUUCAGCAAGUCCUCCGUCACCUCGGCCGCGGCGGUCAGUGCAUUAGCUGGAGUUCAAGACCAGCUCAUUGAGAAGCGGGAGCCAGGCAGUGGGACAGAAAGUGACACUUCUCCAGACUUCCACAAUCAAGAGAAUGAGCCUAACCAGGAGGAUGCUGAAGAGCUGGAUGGAUCUGUGCAGGGGGUGAAACCCCAGAAAGCUGCUUCCUCUACUUCCUCUGGCAGUCACCACAGCAGCCACAAAAAAAGGAAGAACAAAAAUCGACACAGGUAUGUAUAUUAGGUUAGGCUGGGAAGUUUUUUUUAAAAACAGAAAAGCGUGAUGGAGGAUUGAUCUCAAGUUAAACAAAAAGCCAAGAGCCGACUAUUAGACUCAUCAGUGCUGAAGCUUCUGGGAUUUAGGUCUACACGAAUCCCCACGGAGAAAAAUGCUGGUUGACUGAAUGAGCGUGAUGGCAGCUCUCUGGUCGAGUGUCUGCAUAUGGGAGUGGUUCACUCUAAAGAACUCAGAUAGGGGGAGACAUAGUCUUGGACCAUGUACUUUGCAUCACUUUCAAAUCACCUGAGUUGCAGGAAGACUUAUGGUAUAGUAGUAGUAGUCAUGGGUUCCUGAGUAUUCUGUGCUUCCAGCUCAGUUGGGAAUUUCCUACAAUUGUCUGAUCUUGCUGCUGACACCCGUGUCAUCUGUAAUAACUAUGGAGAGCGAUUUCCUUUUCCACUGGAAUUGGGGUAUGAUUCAAUAUGUCCCAUCUACAUUUUAAGACUGUUAGAUUACUUUUGAUAUUGCUAUUUAGCUGUGUGGUUUUCAUUUUGUUUUUUGUUUGUUUGUUUGUUUUUCUUUUAUCCAAAGUGUAUAGUUCAUAAUUUGGUUUUUGGUUUGUUUGUUUUAAUCCAUAUAGAGAAGAAGGUUCUUCAUUUUGUGGAACAACCCAUUUGAAUUCUUAUUCAAGCAAAAAAGGUGAUUAACCCUUUUCUCUAAUUUUAUUUUAAAUAGUAACCCUUUAAAGUUUGUGUAGUACUUUUAGAUACAGGGAAGGCUGAGCUCAAAGCCAUCUUGCUCUUCGCUGUCCUUGAGGUUGAGUGAAUUCUCUUUUUAAUACAAACCUCUGUCACUUGUACAUAAACAAUAAAAGUUGCAUCUUUGGCUCUCUUCUCA